rnacentral:rRNA from 1 species
GUGGGGAAUAUUGGACAAUGGGCGAAAGCCUGAUCCAGCCAUGCCGCGUGUGUGAAGAAGGUCUUCGGAUUGUAAAGCACUUUAAGUUGGGAGGAAGGGCAUUAACCUAAUACGUUAGUGUUUUGACGUUACCGACAGAAUAAGCACCGGCUAACUUCGUGCCAGCAGCCGCGGUAAUACGAAGGGUGCAAGCGUUAAUCGGAAUUACUGGGCGUAAAGCGCGCGUAGGUGGUUCGUUAAGUUGGAGGUGAAAUCCCCGGGCUCAACCUGGGAACUGCCUCCAAAACUGCAUGACUAGAGUACGGUAGAGGGUAGUGGAAUUUCCUGUGUAGCGGUGAAAUGCGUAGAUAUAGGAAGGAACACCAGUGGCGAAGGCGACUACCUGGACUGAUACUGACACUGAGGUGCGAAAGCGUGGGGAGCAAACAGGAUUAGAAACCCCAGUAGUC